rnacentral:rRNA from 1 species
AUUAACGUUGGUAGUAUGCCUAACACAUGCAAGUCGAACGGCAGCCACAGUAGAGAGCAAUCUCUAUGGGUGGCGAGUGGCGAACGGGUGAGUAAUGCUUAUCUAACUUGCCAAUUAGUGGGGGAUAACCCCGAGAAAUCGGGGCUAAUACCGCAUUUUUUUGCUUCGGCAAUGAAAGGAAAUAGCAAUAUUUUCGCUAAUUGAUAGGGAUAAGUCGUAUUAGCUAGUUGGUGGGGUAAUGGCCCACCAAGGCAAUGAUGCGUAGCUGGGCUGAGAGGCUGAUCGGCCACAAGGGAACUGAGACACGGUCCCUACUCCUACGGGAGGCAGCAGUGAGGAAUUUUCGGCAAUGGGGGAAACCCUGACCGAGCAAUACUACGUGAAGGAGGAAGGUCUACGGAUUGUAAACUUCUGUUAGUGCGGAAGAAGAAUCGAACGCAAGUUCGGCUUUGACGGUACGCACAGAGAAAGCCACGACUAACUACGUGCCAGCAGUCGCGGUUAAGACGUAGGUGGCGAACGUUAUCCGGUAUUAUUGGGCGUAAAGGGUGCGUAGAUGGCCGAAUAAGUUAUCGGUGGAAAAUCGAGGCUCAACCUCGUGGAAGCCGGUAAUACUGUUUGGCUCGAGUGCGGGAGAGGUUAACGGAACUCCUUGUGGAGCGGUAAAAUGUGUAGAUAUAAGGAAGAACACCAAUAAGGCGAAGGCAGUUAACUAUUCCGUUACUGACAUUGAGGCACGAAAGCGUGGGGAGCAAAUAGGAUUAGAUACCCUAGUAGUCCACGCCCUAAACGAUGAGUGCUAGAUGUUGGGAACUUGAUUCUCAGUGUCGCUAGAUAACUCGAUAAGCACUCCGCCUGGGUAGUACGCUCGCAAGAGUGAAACUCAAAGGAAUUGACGGGGACUCGCACAAGCACUGGAGCAUGUGGUUUAAUCCGAUACAACACGUAGAACCUUACCAAGGCUUGACAUGUUUGGCAAAACUCGGGAAACCGAGCGGAGGUUAUCCAAACACAGGUGCUGCAUGGCCGUCGUCAGUUCGUGCCGUGAGGUGUAUGGUUAAGUCCUAUAACGAACGCAACCCUUGGGCUUAGUUGCCAGCAUUCAGUUGGGGACUCUAAGCCGACUGCCUGAGUAAUCAGGAGGAAGGAAAAGGAUGACGUCUGGUCGUCAUGGCCCUUAUGUCUUGGGCGACACACGUGCUACAAUGGUUAACACAAAGGGAUGCCAACCCGCGAGGGGGAGCCAAACCCAAAAAAUUAACCUCAGUUCGGAUUGGAGGCUGCAACUCGCCUCCAUGAAGCCGGAAUUGCUAGUAAUCGCCAAUCAGCCAUGUGGUGGUGAAUACGUUCUCGAGUCUUGUACACACCGCCCGUCAAAUCACGAAAGUCGGUAAUUGCCUGAAACCGGUCUGUUAACCCGCAAGGGAUACGGCUGACAAGGGUAGGAUUGGCAAUUGGGGUU